CCUACGGGAGGCAGCAGUGGGGAAUUUUGGACAAUGGGCGCAAGCCUGAUCCAGCAAUGCCGCGUGAGUGAAGAAGGCCUUCGGGUUGUAAAGCUCUUUUGUCAGGGAAGAAACGGCUGAGGCGAAUACCUUUGGCUAAUGACGGUACCUGAAGAAUAAGCACCGGCUAACUACGUGCCAGCAGCCGCGGUAAUACGUAGGGUGCAAGCGUUAAUCGGAAUUACUGGGCGUAAAGCGUGCGCAGGCGGUUUUGUAAGUCUGACGUGAAAUCCCCGGGCUCAACCUGGGAAUUGCGUUGGAGACUGCAAGGCUGGAGUCUGGCAGAGGGGGGUAGAAUUCCACGUGUAGCAGUGAAAUGCGUAGAGAUGUGGAGGAACACCGAUGGCGAAGGCAGCCCCCUGGGUCAAGACUGACGCUCAUGCACGAAAGCGUGGGGAGCAAACAGGAUUAGAUACCCUGGUAGUCCACGCCCUAAACGAUGUCUACUAGUUGUCGGGUCUUAAUUGACUUGGUAACGCAGCUAACGCGUGAAGUAGACCGCCUGGGGAUACGGUCGCAAGAUUAAAACUCAAAUGAAAUUGACGG
rnacentral:rRNA from 1 species